rnacentral:rRNA from 1 species
UACGUAGGGGGCAAGCGUUGUCCGGAAUCAUUGGGCGUAAAGAGCGCGCAGGCGGCUUGGCAAGUCGGGUGUGAAAUCCCGGGGCUCAACCCCGGGACUGCAUUCGAUACUGUCAGGCUAGAGGUAGGUAGGGGAGAUCGGAAUUCCUGGUGUAGCGGUGAAAUGCGCAGAUAUCAGGAGGAACACCGGUGGCGAAGGCGGAUCUCUGGGCCUUACCUGACGCUCAGGCGCGAAAGCUAGGGGAGCGAACAGG